rnacentral:rRNA from 1 species
GAUGGACGCUAGCGGGAGGCCUAACACAUGCAAGCCGAGCGGUAGAGUUUCUUCGGAAACUUGAGAGCGGCGCACGGGUGCGUAACACGUGUGCAACCUACCUUUAUCUGGGGGAUAGCCUUUCGAAAGGAAGAUUAAUACCCCAUAAUAUAAUGAUUGGCAUCAAUUAUUAUUGAAAACUCCGGUGGAUAGAGAUGGGCACGCGCAAGAUUAGAUAGUUGGUGAGGUAACGGCUCACCAAGUCAAUGAUCUUUAGGGGUCCUGAGAGGGAGAUCCCCCACACUGGUACUGAGACACGGACCAGACUCCUACGGGAGGCAGCAGUGAGGAAUAUUGGACAAUGGGUGAGAGCCUGAUCCAGCCAUCCCGCGUGAAGGAUGACGGUCCUAUGGAUUGUAAACUUCUUUUGUACAGGGAUAAACCUACCCUCGGGAGGGUAGCUGAAGGUACUGUACGAAUAAGCACCGGCUAACUCCGUG